UACGUAGGGGGCAAGCGUUGUCCGGAUUUACUGGGCGUAAAGAGCGUGUAGGCGGCCAAGCAGGUCCGUUGUGAAAACUGGAGGCUUAACCUCCAGACGUCGACGGAAACCGCGUGGCUAGAGUCCGGAAGAGGAGAGUGGAAUUCCUGGUGUAGCGGUGAAAUGCGCAGAUAUCAGGAAGAACACCCGUGGCGAAAGCGGCUCUCUGGAACGGUACUGACGCUGAGACGCGAAAGCGUGGGGAGCGAACAGG
rnacentral:rRNA from 1 species